rnacentral:rRNA from 1 species
AUUGAACGCUGGCGGAAUGCUUUACACAUGCAAGUCGAACGGCAGCACGGGGGCGAACCCUCGGUGGCGAGUGGCGAACGGGUGGAGUAAUACAUCGGAACGGUGCCCAACUCGUGGGGGAGUAACUACGCGAAAGCGUAGCUAAUACCGCAUACGAUCUACGGAUGAAAGCGGGGGAGUCGCAAGACCUCGCGCGAAUGGAGCGGCCGAUGGCAGAUUAGGUAGUUGGUGGGGUAAAGGCGUCACCAAGCCGUCGAUCUGUAGCUGGUCUGAGAGGACGACCAGCCACACUGGGACUGAGACACGGCCCAGACUCCUACGGGAGGCAGCAGUGGGGAAGUUUUGGACAAUGGGCGCAAGCCUGAUCCAGCCAUUCCGCGUGCAGGAUGAAGGCCCUCGGGUU